CAGAAUAGCUGAGGAGAACCAGGGAGACGACAAACAAGAUGAGGUGCCCACAACAUAUCUGGAGAGGCUCAACUUCCACAAUCUCCUAAAUUAAUGCCGUUUGGCCCCUACCCUUUUGCCCCUGGGCUCAAAACUACAGGGAUGAAAGUGGAGAAGAGCCUGAGGGAAAGGAGGUCCAGUGAUAGCCCAAAUUGAGAUCCAGCUCAAGGGGAGGUCCCAAGGCCUGACCAUUACUCAGGCUAUGGUGUGCUUACAAACGAGCCUAUCAUCACUGCUCUCUGAGAGACCCAACAAGCAGCUGAAAGAGUCAGUUGCAGAUAUUUUCACCCAACCAAUGGAUAGAAGAUGGUGACCCCUGUGGCUGAAUUAGGGAAAAGCUGGAAGAAGCUGAGGAGGAGGACGACCCCAUAGGAAGACCAGCAGUCUCAACUAACCUGGACCCCCAGGAUCUCUCAGACACUGAGCCACCAACCAGGCAGCAUAUACCAACUGAUAUGAGGACCCCAACACAUAUACAGCAGAGGACUGCCGGGUCUGAACUCAGUCAGAGAAGAUGCAUCUAACCGUGGAGAGACUUGGGACACUUGGGGAGGCCUAGUGGUGUUGGAGAUGGGGUGAGGGGGUGGGAUGUGGAACAGUUUGAGCAUGGACUGGAAGGGGGAUAAAAUCUGGAGUGUAAUAUAAGAUUAAAGAAUAAAAAAGAAAGAAAAAAA